GGUGGAGUUCCCAAUUAGGCACAAGUGGUAUGAGGUGGGCUGAGGAGAUGGAAAAGGCAAAGGAUAACCAAUAGACAACCAACACCACCACCAUCAACAAAACAAGGUCUUGGCAUUAAAGCGCUUCAGCAUUCCUGCCUAUGUCUCUUGAUUCCCCAACCCCAACUCCAUGCAUUCUGCAUGCUAGAUGACAGAAUCUACUUCUGCAUACCUGCCCAUCACUUUCCAUGGAGCCUUCACCCAAAGGAUCUGCUAUGCUGUUUGGACUUCCAGCCUCUCAAACUGUGCAUUAAACCAAUCUCUCCUUAAAAAGCAGUGCACUUCAGGUGUUUUUUUAAGCCUCUCCUUACAUGAAAAUAAAUGUCUUGCCUGUCAA